UUCCUGAUUUUUGGGGCCUGAAUCCCAGAUUUCCAACUAAAAAUCCCAGGAUUUAUCCCAAAUUCCCGAUUUUUUAGCCUGAAUCCUGGAAUUCCAGCUGAAAAAUCCAGAAUUCAUCCCAAAUUUUUGGGUUUUUUUUUCAUUCCAGAGGAAGGCACGGAAGGAGAAUCCGGAGAAAAGGAGGAAUCCAGGGGGGAAGGGGAGGAUGAAGAGGGAAGAGAUUCCGAGAAAGCCCUGGGCCUCCCCGAGGAGCUG